GAAAUGCGAUAAGUAAUGUGAAUUGCAGAAUUCAGUGAAUCAUCGAAUCUUUGAACGCACAUUGCGCCCGCCAGCACUCUGGCGGGCAUGCCUGUUCGAGCGUCAUUUCAACCAUCAAGCCCCGGGCUUGUGUUGGGGACCUGCGGCUGCCCGCAGGCCCUGAAAAACAGUGGCGGGUCCGCUGUCACCCCGAGCGUAGUAGUAUUAUCUCGCUUAGGGCGUGCUGCGGGUUCCGGACGUUAAAUCCCCCCAUACACCAAGCUUGCCCUAGGAUCAGGCAGGAAUACCCGCUGAAAUUAA
rnacentral:misc_RNA from 1 species